AUUGAACGCUGGCGGUAGGCCUAACACAUGCAAGUCGAACGCGAAAGUCCUUCGGGAUGAGUAGAGUGGCGGACGGGUGAGUAACGCGUAGGAAUCUAUCCUGUAGUGGGGGAGUAACGUUUCGAAAGGAACGCUAAUACCGCAUACGCCCCAAGGGGAAAGCGGGGAGUCUUCGGACCUCGUGCUAUAGGAGGAGCCUGCGUCGGAUUAGCUAGUUGGUGAGGUAAAGGCUCACCAAGGCGACGAUCCGUAGCUGGUCUGAGAGGAUGAUCAGCCACACUGGGACUGAGACACGGCCCAGACUCCUACGGGAGGCAGCAGUGGGGAAUAUUGGACAAUGGGCGAAAGCCUGAUCCAGCAAUGCCGCGUGAGUGAUGAAGGCCUUAGGGUUGUAAAGCUCUUUUACCAGGGAUGAUAAUGACAGUACCUGGAGAAUAAGCUCCGGCUAACUCCGUGCCAGCAGCCGCGGUAAAGUGUGACUGUG
rnacentral:rRNA from 1 species